AUACGGAGGGUGCGAGCGUUAAUCGGAAUUACUGGGCGUAAAGGGUGCGUAGGCGGCUUGAUAAGUCGGAUGCGAAAGCCCCGGGCUUAACCUGGGAAUUGCAUUCGAUACUGUCAGGCUAGAGUAUGUCAGAGGUUGGCGGAAUUCCUGGUGUAGCGGUGAAAUGCGUAGAUAUCAGGAGGAACACCAGUGGCGAAGGCGGCUAACUGGGGCAAUACUGACGCUGAGGCACGAAAGCGUGGGGAGCAAACAGGAUUAGAUACCCUAGUAGUCC
rnacentral:rRNA from 1 species